rnacentral:lncRNA from 1 species
UGCUGGAAUUGGAUCAGCCUGACCCGACGAUGAUGUUGUUGAUGGGGAUGAAGAUGAGCUUGACGAAGAAGCCGACGAAGCCCAUGACGACGAAGCCGAUCGCCGUCCGCGCCGCCACCUUGGUGAACUCUGCGCGCAUCAAAAGCCAAGCACGUCAGAUCCGGCGAAAAAAAAAUUUCGCAGCCAGCGCAUACGAGGAUCCGGGAUCUGGGGGUUUGGCGGUUACCCUUGCGGUCUGGCUUGUGGCAGCGCUUGACGAGGCGGAUGCUGUCCUUGGCGAACUCCCUGAGCGGGUCGACCACCGAGUCCACGGCGUCCAUGGCGGUGCGGGGCGGAGGAGAUCUCGCGGCCUGUUGGCUUGCUUGGAGUCUGGCUGGAGACGACGACGAAGACGCGGAAAUGGCUUUGCGCGUGAUUUGCCUUGACGUGGUGGUGCGUUGUCUUAUGGUUGAUUGGAU